ACGGGUGAGUAAUGCUUGGGAACUUGCCUUUGCGAGGGGGAUAACAGUUGGAAACGACUGCUAAUACCGCAUAAUGUCUUCGGACCAAACGGGGCUUCGGCUCCGGCGCAAAGAGAGGCCCAAGUGAGAUUAGCUAGUUGGUAAGGUAACGGCUUACCAAGGCGACGAUCUCUAGCUGUUCUGAGAGGAAGAUCAGCCACACUGGGACUGAGACACGGCCCAGACUCCUACGGGAGGCAGCAGUGGGGAAUAUUGCACAAUGGGGGAAACCCUGAUGCAGCCAUGCCGCGUGUGUGAAGAAGGCCUUCGGGUUGUAAAGCACUUUCAGUUGUGAGGAAAAGUUAGUAGUUAAUACCUGCUAGCCGUGACGUUAACAACAGAAGAAGCACCGGCUAACUCCGUGCCAGCAGCCGCGGUAAUACGGAGGGUGCGAGCGUUAAUCGGAAUUACUGGGCGUAAAGCGCACGCAGGCGGUUUGUUAAGCUAGAUGUGAAAGCCCCGGGCUCAACCUGGGAUGGUCAUUUAGAACUGGCAGACUAGAGUCUUGGAGAGGGGAGUGGAAUUCCAGGUGUAGCGGUGAAAUGCGUAGAUAUCUGGAGGAACAUCAGUGGCGAAGGCGACUCCCUGGCCAAAGACUGACGCUCAUGUGCGAAAGUGUGGGUAGCGAACAGGAUUAGAUACCCUGGUAGUCCACACCGU
rnacentral:rRNA from 1 species